GUUUUCCAAAGACUAAAGGAAUGUCUCAUACAGAGAAGAACUCCAUGCCUUUGAUCAAAUUUGUAAAAAACUUGUCAUGCCUGAUGUUAAGCAGCCACACAUAAAAACACGGCAUAAUGAGGAAUUCUCCAUUUGCCCUGCACAAACCAUGACCUGAUUCUUCACCUAACAGCUAAGCAGUAUUCAUUUUACCAGACUGGAGAAGAUGAGAGGAAGGAGCUUUCUUUUUAGAGAAACGGCAGAGUUUGAAUACACCUUCACAGAACUGAAAAAGGGACAAAAGACUUUCCUCUCCCCUUCUUCCCAUACAACUUCACCAUGAUAAGCAAUUUCCGUCUCCUGCAAAUUCACCACUGUGUCCAUGUGUAUCAGCACGUGAGAACAUGUUUGAAGAACGAAAGCUGGAGUUAUUAUUCCAGCAUGCUAGCAAAGGUUACAGCCGCAAUUCAUCCUAAUGGUUUUGCUCCAGCAAGCCAAAUCAAAUUCAAAGUGAUGUUUUCAUCAGAAAAUCUUUCUGGAUCUAAGGU
rnacentral:lncRNA from 1 species